rnacentral:rRNA from 1 species
GGAUUAGAUACCCUGGUAGUCCACGCUGUAAACGAUGAGUGCUAGAUGUCGGAGGCUCAAGUCUUCGGUGUUACAGCUAACGCGUUAAGCACUCCGCCUGGGGAGUACGGCCGCAAGGCUAAAACUCAAAGGAAUUGACGGGGGCCCGCACAAGCGGUGGAGCAUGCGGUUUAAUUCGAUACUACGCGAAGAACCUUACCAACCCUUGUAUGUUAGCAGCAGGUAUAGAGAUAUACCCUCGGUUCGGCCGGGCUAACACAGGUGUUGCACGGCUGUCGUCAGCUCGUGCCG